CUCAGUUCGGAUUGGAGUCUGCAACCCGACUCCAUGAAGCUGGAUUCGCUAGUAAUCGCGCAUCAGCCACGGCGCGGUGAAUACGUUCCCGGGCCUUGUACACACCGCCCGUCAAGCCAUGGAAGCCGGGAGUGCCUGAAGUACGCGACCGCAAGGAGCGUCCUAAGGUAAAACCGGUNACUGGGGCUAAGUCGUAACAAGGUAAC
rnacentral:rRNA from 1 species